ACAACAACAACAACACAUCCACGUGCGCCAACAGCUGAUCGGCGGAGAGGACGAGGACGAGGACGAGGUGGAGAAAAAGACCAAUUAAAGAAACCAUGGAGUAGAAACCAGUGACACAAGAGGACACAGAGGAUACUUCAGAGGAGGUGGACGUGAGGAUAAGUAACAGAGAGCAACAGAAGCCACAGGAAAAAAAAAGUAGAGAAAAAGAGCAAAUUAAGAAACCAUGAAGUAGAAACCAGUGGAUAAAGAAGACAUAGAGAAUAGUAAAGAGGAAGAGGACCUGAUUAAAAGCAACAGAGGCUACAGAACAAGAAGAGAAGGAAGGGAAGGACUCCACUCCCGCCCCACAGCCAUGGACGCGUAUUACGGUUACUUCGAGGGACAGUUCAGUGACGCGGACGAGGACAGUGACAGUGCGUACCAGCCCUACACCAAGCCACUGGUCAGCCUGCCACAUAGUAAUGAGAAUGAGAACUGGGACACAGGUGGUGAGGAGCAACCAAAACAGGAGGAUCAGCCAGAGGAGGACGACGAGGACUCAGAUUUCGACGAUGAUUACUUUGUGGAUCAGGACAGUAAAGACCUGACCAAAGAGUAUAACCAGAGCAGCCAGAAGGGACCCAACCACUCCUCCGGCCAGAAGAUGAAGCUUGAGAAGUUCCAGCCCCCCGAGAAGCUGUUCAAGAAGUACGCCAACAAGAUCUGCCUCGAGAAGUUUGAAGGUCUGCGAGGCUACAGCGGCAGCGUGACGAACAAGAUGGUGGAGACGCAGCGAAAGGCGGAGAACGAGAGGCAAAGAGUGCGCGACAAGUCCGAGAGGGCCACAGUGGAGCAGGUGAUGGACCCUCGCACUCGGAUGAUCCUCUUCAAGUUCCUCAACAAAGGCACGAUCACAACGGUCAACGGAUGCAUCUCCACGGGUAAGGAGGCCAAUGUUUACCACGCCAUGAACGGCGAUGGGGACGAACUGGCCGUCAAGAUUUACAAGACUUCAAUUCUCAUCUUCAAGGACAGAGACAGAUAUGUUUCAGGGGAUCACAGGUUCCGCCAUGGGUAUGGGAAGAACAACCCGCGCAAGAUGGUCCGAACGUGGGCCGAGAAGGAGACCAGCAACCUCUUCCGUCUGUUCAACUGUGGCCUUCCCGUGCCCCGCCCCAUCAUGCUGCGCUCCCACGUCCUCAUCAUGGAGUUCCUCGGCACAAACUCCAUCCCCGCGCCAAGACUGAAGGACGCUGAGAUCUCCGAGUCCAAGGCGCGGGAGCUGUACCUUGAGCUGGUGGAGAACAUGUGGACAAUGUACCGGGAGUGUCGGCUGGUGCACGCUGACCUCAGUGAAUUCAACCUGCUGUAUCACAAGGGCCGGGCGUACAUCAUUGAUGUCUCCCAGUCUGUCGGCCCUGACCACCCCCACGCCUUGGAGUUCUUGCGGAAGGACUGCACGAACAUCACAGAGUUCUUCAAGAAAAAAAACGUGCCCACGAUGAAAGUUCAGGAGCUGUUCAACUUCAUCGUGGACCCGAGCGUCACCAAGGAGAACCGCUCGGCAUACCUGGAGCACAUGAAGGAGGUGGCGUCGCAGCGGGGACACCUGACGGACCAGGAGAAGGUGGACGAGGAGGUGUUCAAGAAUGUCUUUAUCCCCAAAACGCUGGACCAGAUCAUAGAUUUUGAGGGAGACUUCGUGGACUUGAGGCUCGGGGAGAAGACUGAGAAAGACAUCCCAUACAUUAGUGUUCUGGGCAUGAAGAACGACCUCAGCGGACCAGCGCUUCCCGAGGACACGGCGGGCCAGGACACAUCUGAGUCAGGGGAGGAAGACAGCGGAGGUGAGGAAACCGAGGACAAGGAGGCAGGGGGCAGCCGCAUCACACCCGGCAGGCAGAAAGGCGAGUCCCUGGACGAGAAGAAGGAGCGGAAGAAGGCAGUGAAGGAGGCGCAAGCGGAGAAGAGGAAAAUAAAAGUCAAAAAGCAUGUGAAAAAGAAGGCUGAGAAGGAGAGAAGGAAAAAGCACUAGACUUGCGUUAAUAGGUCAUGGAAUUGUACCUUUGUUGAGUGUAAGAGAAUGACUGUGAGCGAAGAACUGGAGGACCAAGAGUGAAAAGCAUAUUAAAAGAAGGCCAAGAAAGAGUAGGAAAAAACAUUAGAGAUGCAUUAUUAGUUUAUAGAAGUUUACCCUUAUAGAAUGUAAGAAGCAGAACACAGAAAAUAUACUGUAUGGAAAGAAAGGAGAUGUUAGUGUGAUUGAAUAUGCAGUUUAAUUUAUCCAACAAAUUAUGACGGCAAUUUCGAAAAGGCCAAAUUGAUCGUUCCUUAAAAAUUCAUAAAAGUGGAACUACAAAUAUUAAUUAAAGUUGUAGGAUUUGGAAGUACAUAUUGAACUUAAGUACCAAUUGCUAGUAUGGAAAGGACGGCUGAGAAAGAGAUACUAGAGAUAUGUUAUUAGGUUCUAGAAAUGUACCUUUGUUGAGUGUUAGACAAGAACCAGAAAACCCCUCAAAGAAUAUAUUGAAGGAAAGGAGAUGUUAGUAUGAAUGAAUAUGCAUUUAGUAAUUUAACAGACAAGAGUUGCGACAUCAGGUUUGAAUGAAAGGCUUUAUUGAAGGCUUUGUAUGAAUGCAUAAAAGUGAAAUUAGUGAGAGAAGAAUUAUUGAGCCGAGUUGCAGGACUUGAAGGUACUGAAGUGAAGUAGUGUGACCUUAAAGUUUAAUUAAAAGUUCAUUAUAAAUUCAUAAAAGUAGAAGAAGAAUUACUAUAAAUCAGAGUUGCAGAAUUUGAAGGUACUGAAGUGAAGUAGUGUGGUCUUAAAUAUGAAUGGAAAGUUUAAUUAAAAGUUCAAUAUAAAUUCAUAAAAGUAGAAGAAGAAUUACUAUAAAAUCAAGGUUCCAGGAUUUGAAGGUGGUGAAGUAAUGUGACCUUAGAUAUGAAUGAAAAGUUUAAUUAAAAGUUCAGUAUAAAUUCAUAAAAGUAGAACAAGAAUUACUUUAAAAUCAAAGUUCCAGGAUUUGAAGGUGGUGAAGGAAUGUGACCUUAGAUAUGAAUGAAAAGUUUUAUUGAAAGUUCAGUAUAAAUUCAUGAAAGUAGAACAAGACUUACUAAAUAUCGAAGUUCCAGGAUUUGAAGAUUUUAAAUGGCAGAAUUGAAAAGAAGACAUUCAUUAGAGAGCAAUUUUUUUAUGAUUAUUUUUUUUUACAGCAAAGGAAAGAACUCAAGGGCAAAAAUGAAAUGAAAAAAAGACUAGGAAAAAAAUCAGAAGUAUAUAUGUUUUUCAGGUCCAGAAGUACAUGAAUUUUCUUCCAUUUCUAAACCCAAAUAUUUUCCGGUUUAAAAGCGAAAUAUCACUCUGCGGAAGUUUUAAUAUAUUUUUCUGCUUUCUGUGAUGUUAAGAUGAUAGGAUUACAGGUCAAUUUCAGAGUAUUGUUCUGAAUUACACAUUGGAUUUAUUUAUAGUAAGGAUUAGCCAUGCAACAUUUUUAAAUCACCCUCACCUCUCAUUCUCUGUUGGCGUCUUAAGGGGCUAUUACGCUGGGCAAAUUUUCCGUGGAUCUUCAGUCAAACCACGAUUUCCGCUGGCGUGGUUCUCAUGUGUUUCUUGUUAUUGCUGAUGAUGAUGAUGGUGAGUAAUACCGUCAUCCUUCAGUGAAAUCUACCGUAGCUUUGGAAGAUCGUGGACACGUCAGAAAACCACGGAAAUAUGAGAACCACGCCAGCGGAAAUCGUGGUUUGACUGAAGAUCCACGGAAAAUUUGCCCAGUGUAAUUGCCCCUUUAGCGAGAGUUUUUAGUUAGACGUGAGUGAAACAUGUCCUUACGAGAGUCGAUUUUUAUUUAUAUACGAUACUGAAUGAAUAAAUGGGAUACAACACUGA